ACUCCUACGGGAGGCAGCAGUGGGGAAUAUUGGACAAUGGGCGAAAGCCUGAUCCAGCAAUGCCGCGUGAGUGAUGAAGGCCUUAGGGUUGUAAAGCUCUUUUACCCGGGAUGAUAAUGACAGUACCGGGAGAAUAAGCCCCGGCUAACUCCGUGCCAGCAGCCGCGGUAAUACGGAGGGGGCUAGCGUUGUUCGGAAUUACUGGGCGUAAAGCGCACGUAGGCGGCUUUGUAAGUUAGAGGUGAAAGCCCAGGGCUCAACCCUGGAAUUGCCUUUAAGACUGCAUCGCUUGAACAUCGGAGAGGUAAGUGGAAUUCCGAGUGUAGAGGUGAAAUUCGUAGAUAUUCGGAAGAACACCAGUGGCGAAGGCGACUUACUGGACGAUUGUUGACGCUGAGGUGCAAAAGCGUGGGGAGCAAACAGGAUUAGAUACCCUGGUAG
rnacentral:rRNA from 1 species